GCAAAAUUUAUAUUCACCUGUUUAACAAAAACAUGUCUUUUUGUAAAUUAAUUUAAGGUCAGUUCUGCUCAAUGAUUAGUUAAAUAGCUGCAGUAUUUUGACUGUACUAAGGUAGCAUAAUCAAUUGUCUUUUAAUUUAAGGCUAGAAUGAAGGAAUUAAUGAAAUAUAAACUGUCUCAAUUUUAUAAAAUAAAUUUAAAUUUUAAGUAAAAAUGCUUAAAUUAUUUUGAGGGACGAUAAGACCCUAUAGAAUUUUAUAUAUUUUUAAAUAUAAUUUUAUUUUUAUAUUAUAUUUGAUUGGGAGGAUUUUUAAAUAUAAUAAACUUUAAAGUUUUAAAAUAUUGAUAAAUAGAUAUAUUAUAAGAAAUAUUUUUAAUAUUAUAAGAGUAAAUUACCUUAGGGAUAACAGCGUAAUAUUUUUUGAAAGAUCUAAUUGAAAAAGAUGUUUGCGACCUCGAUGUUGAAUUAAAAUUAAUUAUAAAUGUAGUAGUUUAUGGAUUGAGUCUGUUCGACUUUUAAAAUUUUACAUGAUUUGAGUUCAAAUCGACGUGAGUCAGAUUGGUUUUUAUCUUCAAAUAAAAUAUAAAUUUUUGUACGAAAGGACUAGAUUUAUAAAAUAAUUUUUAAUUAUGUAAUUAAUAA
rnacentral:rRNA from 1 species